UACGAAGGGGCUAGCGUUGUUCGGAUUUACUGGGCGUAAAGCGCGUGUAGGCGGACUUGUAAGUUGGGGGUGAAAUCCCGAGGCUCGAACCUCCGGAACUGCCUCCAAAACUACAAGUCUGGAGCAAGAUAGAGGCAAGGUGGAAUUGCGAGUGUAGAGGUGAAAUUCGUAGAUAUUCGCAGGAACACCAGUGGCGAAGGCGACUUGCUGGAUCUUUGCUGACGCUGAGACGGCGAAAAGCGUGGGGAGCAAACAGG
rnacentral:rRNA from 1 species